ACACUCAUGUUGGCAAUCAUUCUGUUAUUUCACUGAGCUAAUGUUAACUAAAACACCAACAGUCAUGCUGCAAUCGUUCUGUUAUUUCACUGAGCUAAUGUUAACUAAAAUACCAACAGUCAUGCUGCAAUCGUUCUGUUAUUUCACUGAGCUAAUGUUAACUAAAAUAUCAACCGUCAUGUUGGCAAUCAUUCAGUUAUUUUCCUGAGCUAAUGUUAACUAAAAUACUGCCAGUCAUGUUGGCAGUCAUUCUGUUAUUUCACUGAGCUAAUGUUAACUAAAAUAUCAACACUCAUGUUAGCAAUCAUUCUGUUAUUUCACUGAGCUAAUGUUAACUAAAAUACCAACAGUCAUGCUGCAAUCGUUCUGUUAUUUCACUGAGCUAAUGUUAACCAAAAUAUCAACCGUCAUGUUGGCAAUCAUUCAGUUAUUUUCCUGAGCUAAUGUUAACUAAAAUACUGCCAGUCAUGCUGGCAGUCAUUCUGUUAUUUCACUGAGAUAAUGUUAACUAAAAUACCAACAGUCUUCCUGGCAAUCAUUCUAUUUCACUCUGCUAAUCAAAAAAUUAAAAUCAAACUGUCAUCCUACCAGUUUGGCUGGUUUUACACCGUAAAUGGUAUUAAAGAUUCAUUGCGUUCCUCUUUUUAGCCGAAAUGACAAUUCACCAUCUGAUUGACUGGGAGUCUGACCUGCCAUGGGAGGGCCCCUGCUGGCCAGCCUUGUGCUGGUGGUCAGUUGGAUGGUUCGUCCAGCCUUCUUUAACAAAUAAUGUAUCAAAAGCCCUGACAACCGCCAUCGUCUCAGAGGAACAACUGUCAACGCUCACAUCUGGAUGGAAGCGCCAGCCAUCCCUGCCUACACCUGGAUGUGUCCAUCAAGACUGAACUGUUCAAAGACUGGGUCAUUGGAGGUUGGUGAACCUUGUGUUAAAGUUGUCCUUUAUUUUUUUUUAUUUUCACUUUAUUAAUGAUAAUGAAAAUUAAGGUUGGCAAUGUGCCUGCUAUAUCAUUCUGCUAAUGGUAAUAAAAAUACUACUAGUCAUGCUGACAAUGUCCCUGCUGCUUCCUUCUGCUAAUGGUAAUUAAAACACCAGCAGUAAUGCUGGGAAUAUUUCUGUCCUCUUUUACCAUGUUGUUCCAUUUGCUAAUGAUAAUUGAAUCACGAUCAGUAAUGUCAGCAUUUUGUUUUUCUGUUGUUUUGCUGUGAGUGACAAUUCACAACCUGAUCGACUGGCACUCAUACCCACCAUCAGAGGGCCCCCGCUGGCCGGCCUUGUGCUGGUGUUCAGGUGGACGGUUCCUCCGGCCUGUGGGCUGCCUCUACCCUAUAUAGGGUUCCUUGGGCCUUUGGGUCUGCUUCCACCCUUCAGUGGGGUACUUUAGACCUUUGGGUCUGCUUCCACCCUUCAGUGGGGUACUUUAGACCUUUGGGUCUGCUUCCACCCUUCAGUGGGGUACUUUAGACCUUUGGGUCUGCUUCCACCCUUGAAAGGGUUCUUUAGACCUUUGGGUCUGCUUCCACCCUUCAGAGGGUUUAUCCAGCCUUCAGCUACACCUCCAUUUUACAACAGGUAGGUCGUCUUCACAGGUGAGUCAAGUUUAUUUAAUGUUAUUAUGCUGCAUGGUUGAUCAGUGACAAAAACACAGUAAUCAACAAAACCAAAAACACAAAAACAAAAUUAUCAAUAUGCCUUUAAUAUAAUCUCUGCACAACAAAAAGUUUUAAAAGGGUUUCCAAAAUUAAUAAAAACAGCAAACUGUUUAAAAUAAUAUUUUGUUUAAGUGUACACUUGAAACAACAAAAAUCAAAACAAGGACUAGGUUAAUAAAACACACCUUUUCAGCACAGCUGAGCUGAAACAAAAGUCACAAAAUGUGCAAAAAGGGCACAAAAAAAACCAAAAGUUCCACAAUAAAAAAAUAUAACAAAUCGUCAUCAUAACAAGGUACUUUCAAGGAAACCUCAGAAAAUCACAACAAAGAGCACCACCACACCAACCACCUCCAAAACCUUUUUGAAAGAAACUACAAUGUUCAGGAGGCACUGUAAAGGAAACGUGGGCCAACAACAGAACAAUAACAUUUAAAGUGCUAUCUGGAAAACAUCCCAAUGUCAACAAUGUGGGCAAAAUACUUUUGAGGAAACAAUGGAGCAACAAGAGAACAACAGCAAACAAUGAUUUCCUUAAAGUGCUUCAAGGAAAUUUGGACCAACAUUGGAACAACAAAAUCCAAACUACUCCCAGGGAAACAUCACAACAUCAACAAUGUCCAUGAUGCUUUCAAGGAAACAAUGGAUCAACAAUGGAACAACAGCAAAAUAACAAUAUUCACAAAUCACGCUCAGAUCAAUGGCAUGAAAACAAAGUUCAUUUAAGUUCUUUCAAGGAAAUAAUGGAACAACUAUCUUUCAAGGAAAUUAAAGUGCAGCAACAGAACAUUUAUAAGGUCCUCUCAAAGGAACAACUGCUCAACUGAUGGCGAAUCCUGACAACCAGCAAGGCAUUAAACCUUGUUUCAUCACUCCUGCAAAACCACCCAGCUGCAUGAGGUUACUUGGAUGGAGAUGAGAACAAUAACCUGGAUGAUGGGGAUAAAGACUGUAGACCCCAAGGCCAUGGCGUGUACUGAUAACUUCACUUUUUAUGCUGUUCUAGUCAUGUCUGCAUUCCUUUGUGUAUUUGUAUGUCUCUGCUUUUUCAUAACUGAUUGCUAGAAUGUCCAAUGCUGCAGCGUUGGAUAUUUUGGCAGACUUUUCAGGGACGCAGUGCUGCUGUUCCAUAUCCUGCCAUUCUACAAGGAGAUGGUCUUUGGUUCUUCCAUCCUCGGGAGAAGCUGAGUCAGGCAUCCUUACGCUGGGAGCUACAGCCAAAGUGUUCCUCUGAGAAGAAGAUCCUGCUGCCCUCCAUCACCUUUUGGAUGCUGAGCAAGGAUGCAGACUGGGUCAUCAACCAGCCACUGGAUACGUAUCUGAGGCCAUCAGAGGCCAGAGCUGUCCAAACCGGUUCUUGACAGAAACAAGUGCUUGCAAAAGACCCCGAUGCCCUCCAAUCACCCUCUGGAUGCUGAGCCAGGAUGCAGACUUGGUCGUCAACCAGCCAACGGAUACAUGCCUGAAGCCAUCAGAGACCAGAGCUGUCCAAACCGGUUCUCCAACAGGAACAAGGAGCUUGCAGACUAUGAGGAGGAAGAUGACAACUCCAGUGCUUACUCUGAGCUGGAGAGGACAGCUGGUGUUUAAGGUGGACUAUGUUACUGGAUUACAAAACUGGACUAGACUUUUGUUGCAAAGUGUGUGAAUCAGAAGAAUCAACCCAGACUCGCUGAUGUAUCCUGGACAUUUUUGGUCAGAAUACUCUAUGGUCUUUUAUUUUGAUUCAUCAUGCUUGCUCUGCCUUGAAGCAGCAUUUCACUAAGAUGGACUGUUAUUAUGCAAGACUCUUGACUCUACUUUUAUUUUACACACAACUGUACAUAUUGUCAUUAAGCUAUGAUAUAAAAAACUAGAAUUUAGUAAAUCUGAAGUCAGCAGCUAAGUAAUUCAUGUAGCGGCUUUGCCGUGAUCGCCCAUCUCUUAUAUGGCCGUGGGGGUCGUUCGGGUCUUUUCCAACAAUAGGAUGUAAAUCCUCUUGAGUGUCAUUAUCUGGGAAGGAAGGAAGAAGGCUGUUGGUUUUUCACCCGAUCUACAUGGAUUGUUGUUGUGGAGCCCCUAAAAGCUCCAACGGGGGUAAAAUAUGAGGGAGUAAAAUAACUGCUGAUAUGAAAAACUGCAUUUUAAUAUAAAAGGUUGUGUUCUUUUGCUAAAAUGUUUCAGCUGUAUGCUCACCCAUGUCCUAUGGUCAGCAUGACCUGGUCGAUAAUGCCGUUGCCACUCAUGAUUAUGGGUGUAAGAUUGUUUUUGAUUAAGAGUUGCUUAAGGCUGUGUAAUAGAUGAUCAUUAAUGUUUUGUUUGACUUCGUAUCUUCCAUCUUAUACUGUUCAUGGUAAAAGACUGUUAAAG